rnacentral:rRNA from 1 species
ACUCCUACGGGAGGCAGCAGUGGGGAAUAUUGCACAAUGGGCGCAAGCCUGAUGCAGCCAUGCCGCGUGUGUGAAGAAGGCCUUCGGGUUGUAAAGCACUUUCAGUUGUGAGGAAAGGUUAGUCGCUAAUAUCGGCUAGCUGUGACGUUAGCAACAGAAGAAGCACCGGCUAACUCCGUGCCAGCAGCCGCGGUAAUACGUAGGGUGCAAGCGUUAUCCGGAAUUAUUGGGCGUAAAGAGCUCGUAGGCGGUUUGUCGCGUCUGUCGUGAAAGUCCGGGGCUCAACUCCGGAUCUGCGGUGGGUACGGGCAGACUAGAGUGAUGUAGGGGAGACUGGAAUUCCUGGUGUAGCGGUGGAAUGCGCAGAUAUCAGGAGGAACACCGAUGGCGAAGGCAGAUCUCUGGGCAUUAACUGACGCUGAGGAGCGAAAGCAUGGGGGAGCGAACAGGAUUAGAUACCCUGGUAGGGCUCUGCUAGUCGUGGGGGCAAGGCACACAGGGGAUA